UACAGAGGUCUCAAGCGUUGUUCGGAUUCAUUGGGCGUAAAGGGUGCGUAGGUGGCGCCGUAAGUCAGGUGUGAAAUUUCGGAGCUUAACUCCGAAACUGCAUUUGAUACUGCGGUGCUUGAGGACUGGAGAGGAGACUGGAAUUCACGGUGUAGCAGUGAAAUGCGUAGAUAUCGUGAGGAAGACCAGUGGCGAAGGCGGGUCUCUGGACAGUUCCUGACACUG
rnacentral:rRNA from 1 species